rnacentral:rRNA from 1 species
UACGUAGGGGGCUAGCGUUGUCCGGAAUCAUUGGGCGUAAAGCGCGCGUAGGCGGCCAGAUAAGUCCGGUGUGAAAGUCACAGGCUCAACCUGUGAAUGCCGCUGGAAACUGUCUGGCUUGAGUCCGGAAGAGGCGAGUGGAAUUCCCGGUGUAGCGGUGAAAUGCGCAGAUAUCGGGAGGAACACCAAUGGCGAAGGCAGCUCGCUGGGACGGUACUGACGCUGAGACGCGAAAGCGUGGGGAGCAAACAGG